rnacentral:sRNA from 1 species
UCUGGCUGCGACAUCUGUCACCCCAUUGAUCGCCAGGGUUGAUUCGGCUGAUCUGGCUGGCUAGGCGGGGGUCCCCU